rnacentral:rRNA from 1 species
GACGAACGCUGGCGGCGUGCUUAACACAUGCAAGUCGAACGGAAAGGCCCUGCUUUUGUGGGGUGCUCGAGUGGCGAACGGGUGAGUAACACGUGAGUAACCUGCCCUUGACUUUGGUAUAACUUCAGGAAACUGGGGCUAAUACCGGAUAGGAUCUCCUGCUGCAUGGUGGGGGUUGGAUAUUCUCGGCUGUUGGGGAUGGACUCGCGGCUUAUCAGCUUGUUGGUGGGGUAGUGGCUUACCAAGGCUUUGACGGGUAGCCGGCCUGAGAGGGUGACCGGCCACAUGGGGACUGAGAUACGGCCCAGACUCCUACGGGAGGCAGCAGGGGGGAAUAUUGCACAAUGGGCGGAAGCCUGAUGCAGCAACGCCGCGUGCGGGAUGACGGCCUUCGGGUUGUAAACCGCUUUCGCCUGUGACGAAGCGUGAGUGACGGUAAUGGGUAAAGAAGCACCGGCUAACUACGUG